AGAUUGAACGCUGGCGGAAUGCUUUACACAUGCAAGUCGAGCGGCAGCGCGGGGCAACCUGGCGGCGAGCGGCGAACGGGUGAGUAAUGCAUCGGAACAUGUCCAUGUCGUGGGGGGAUAGCCCGGCGAAAGCCGGAUUAAUACCGCAUACGCCCGAGAGGGGAAAGUGGGGGACCGCAAGGCCUCACGCGAUUGGGUUGGCCGAUGUCCGAUUAGCUAGUUGGCGGGGUAAAGGCCCACCAAGGCGAUGAUCGGUAGCUGGUCUGAGAGGAUGAUCAGCCACACUGGGACUGAGACACGGCCCAGACUCCUACGGGAGGCAGCAGUGGGAAUUUUUGGACAAGUGGGGAAACCCUGAUCCAGCCAUUCCGCGUGAGUGAAGAAGGCCUUGGUUGUAAGUCUUCUUUGUCCGGAACGAAACGGUGAGCGUGAAUAUCGUCUCG
rnacentral:rRNA from 1 species